GAGAAAACCAGUCCUUAACAGGAGCAGAAUGCUGGAGGGUUACUGAAGGAUGAAUGUAAAUUUAUCCUCCCAGUGAUUUGGAGGACAAGUCAUUGAUGCAUAUAAAGAAAAGUUGUUUUAUUUUUUAGGUGAGAAACAAUGAGAGACUCCAAGAGCUAGAAGUUCAUGCUGCUCAAAAGGCAGGAGUUCUUUACGAGGAGUCCACAUCCAGCUCGUGGCAUGUUUCCUAUGCGUUGGCUGUCUCCAUUAAUUCCCCCUCUCCAGCUAAAUCAAUGUUUCUGUAUGCUGUCAGCACAUAAAGGAAUGCUUUUUUUAAAAU
rnacentral:lncRNA from 1 species